CUCUCCUCCCCGCUCC
rnacentral:miRNA from 1 species